rnacentral:rRNA from 1 species
GAUCCUGGCUCAGGAUGAACGUUAGCGGCAGGCUUAACACAUGCAAGUCGAGGGGCAGCAUAAUAGAUAGCAAUAUCUAUGGUGGCGACCGGCGCACGGGUGCGUAACGCGUAUGCAACCUACCUUUAACAGGGGGAUAACACUGAGAAAUUGGUACUAAUACCCCAUAAUAUCAUAGAAGGCAUCUUUUAUGGUUGAAAAUUCCGAUGGUUAGAGAUGGGCAUGCGUUGUAUUAG